rnacentral:rRNA from 1 species
CUAGACUUGACAUCCCGGGGAUUUUCUGGAAACAGUUAAGUGCUUUAGCAAUAAAGAACCCGGUGACAGGUGCUGCAUGGCUGUCGUCAGCUCGUGUCGUGAGAUGUUGGGUUAAGUCCCGCAACGAGCGCAACCCUCGCCUUUAGUUGCCAGCAUUCAGUUGGGCACUCUAGAGGGACUGCCGGUGUCAAACCGGAGGAAGGCGGGGAUGACGUCAAGUCCUCAUGGCCUUUAUGUCUAGGGCUACACACGUACUACAAUGGCCGGUACAAAGGGCAGCCACUCAGCGAUGAGGCGCCAAUCCCAUAAAGCCGGUCUCAGUCCGGAUCGCAGUCUGCAACUCGACUGCGUGAAGUUGGAAUCGCUAGUAAUCGUGGAUCAGCAUGCCACGGUGAAUGCGUUCC